GCAUGGGUUAACUGAUCAUUUACAGGAGGAUAAACUGUGAGUGCAUCUUUGAUUCCCUCUAACACGUGUCGUUUGAAACACAGGAUGAAUGGGAGAACAAAUCAGAAGAUUUGAUCUCUUGGGUGAGUUUCGUAGGCACUGCAUCUGUGGUCUUUAGUUGUAGAACCAGAUGUAGCUGAGAGAGCAACUGUAUACCUAACCAGCAAAGCAUUUGCAUGCACAUGAUCCCAUUUUUUUCUAGAGAGUGUUUAAUUCUCACAUCUGAAAGAGGAACAUAAUACAUAGAAGUGGCUUUGUUUGAGUUUGUUUCCAAUGUAGCUGUGUAGAGGACUUUCUAGAUCCUAAUUGGAAAAGGAAGCCCUGGGAAGAAAAGAUGUUUUAGGUCCUGCAUCUUUGCAGCUGGGGUCAUGCUUGCACCAACAUGACCGAAUCUGCCCCAUGGAUUCUGCUGGAGAGCAGUCUGCCACCUCGGAGCUACCUGCAGUGCUGCAAAGUCCAGCAAUCGCUGUGUUCUCUGUGGACUCUGGGUACAGAGUGUGUGGCAGAGCUUAGCCUGUGUUUGACUUUGUGUGUGACAGCAUCUUUCACUUCAGACCUGGAAGCAGGGGCCUGGAGAGAUAGGCUCAAUGGCUGUGGCUCAUUUGUUGCUCUUGCAGAGGACAGGGUUCAGUUCUCAGCAGCUACACUGUAGCUCAUAACCAUCCAUAACUUCUGUUGCAGGGGAUCGGACACCCCUUUCUGACCUCAGACAUGAACAUGGUGUACACACACACACACACACACACACACACACACACACACACGCGCGCGCGCGUGCGCGCGCGCUGCACUCAUACACAUAAAAUAAAUCUUUAAAAACAUGGAAAAUUUAAAAAAACUUUUAAAAAUUGAAAACAAUUUCUGCAUAGCUUUAAAGCUAUGUAAAGAGUGCUUUAAAAAUCAUAGUAGUUUUACAAGAAUGUCAAGAACCUUAGUGCUAACAUUUGUAUCUUUGUAUUAAAGGUUGGAAAGAAUCCUGGUAAAUAAAGUAAAUAAAUAUUUUAUGCUGUGUGUCAGAACAGUGGCUGAUUUAUCCAAAGGUACAAUAGAGAUUAGAGAAUUGAUAAUAUACAAGUAAUAUAGUUGCAUGCCAGAAAACAUGCUUAUUUUCAUUUUUGCCUUGGCUAUUGAUUGCAAGGUAUGAGAUUCCUCAUACGAUUUCAUUGUUGUUAAUAGUAUUAAAUAUGAAUUUUAUUAAUUAAUUAAUUGAGAAUUAUAUGUGAACACUUUGCCUGUAUGUCUAUAUGUAUGCAUAUAUGUGCACCACAUGAGUGCCUGAUGUCCUUGGAGACUAGAAGAAGGUAUAUAGGGUUCCCAGGAACUGGAGUUAGAGACAGUUGUGAGCCAUCAGGUGGGUGCUGGGAUUUGAACCCCACUCUUCUGUAGUAGUGUAAGUGCUCUUCACUGCUGAGUUCGAGGUGGACUUUAGUGUUACAAAAUUAUCCAUGAAGAGAUGUGCCAAUUGUACAGAGAUGUGCCAAUUGUACAAUGGCCUUCUGAUUUGUUCCAGUGUUGAGCCUUUCUGUAGCAUCUUUGGCAUUGAUUUAAGCUUGACACACUUUGUUCAAGUCUUUAACAUUAUGUUCAUUGCAUUUCCCUGAUUUCAUAAACAAAACUACAGCUUGUUGUUUUUAAACAGUACGCAGAGUGUUGCUCCCUAGAGCCUAAGUGUCUAGUGCUUUCACGGAGGCGCCCCUAGCUGCCAACAUUGGGCUAGUCACUGCACACAAUUCUUCCCAUCUCCGUCUCCUGAGGUGAGGCUCAGAUUGAUACUGUGUGGGUCCAAACCCUGCCCUCCAAUCCUGUGGUGGGAUUUUCUUUUUCCUGGUGUAGCCAACCUCAUUUUAAACUCAGUUUAUUAAUGUAACUUGGCACUUACAAUGAGUCCCCUGAUUGGCAUGAUGGUCAAAUGUAAUUAAAAGGGCCCGCCAAAUAUAACAGAGACGUUUACCAAGAGGGAAAUCCAAUGGGAGGGUUUCACAGUGACUUCUUAGGAACUGGGACAAAUUUUUAAUCUCCUUUGUUCCAUUAAAAUGAUGUUGUAAUUUUAUUUGGCACCUGAAAGAUUGGGCUAUAUGUCUUUCUUUGAAAACAAAAAACAAAACAAAACAAAACAAAAAAAACCCCAAAAAACAAAAAACCAACACCCAUAUUUGGCUGCCCUGGGCAUUAAGAGUAUUCAGAACUCCUGCCAGGUUCAUGUGACUCAGACAAGUCACUAGUGAAUAAAUGUAUCCAUAGAAUAGAACUAGUAGCAUAUACUCCCUAAAGAACGAACCAAGUUUCUUAUAGGGUGCACACGUGAUGUGCUCUGUAAAUGAUAACAGCUGUUAUGACGUGUAUAUUUGCGUUAUAAUCAAAUGCUGUGUGUAAGAAUGUAUACAGGCCUCACUUCGUGGUACAAACCCAUAAUCUUAGCAUUUGGAAGGCACGUUGGAGGCCAACUGGCUUGUGUCAUAUAGUAAAAUCUUGCCUUAGAAC
rnacentral:lncRNA from 1 species